CCCAGGCCCUGUCUCCCUGUAGGCUCCACAGGCCCCAUCCCUAGCCCAGCCAAUUCAGCUCAGGGGCUUGCCAGUGCUGAGGGGAUCGGGCUGGGGGACGCUCCCACAGACUGCAGACAGGGUCUUGCACUGUUGCCCAGCCUGGAGUGCAGUGGAGUGAUCGUGACUCACUGCAGCUUUGACCUCCUGGAUUCAAGUGAUCCUCCCACCUCAGCCUCUGGAGUAGGUUCUGAGUCUUGCUCUGAUUCCCACCCCGACAAUGAUCUUGUACGGCUGUUAAUGAGAAACUGGAGAAACGGAUGGAAGACAUUCUCACCCCUGACCUCAGCUAGGAAGCCCACUGAUGCUGGGGGGCCUGGGGGAGCCAGGCAGAGAAUGGAGAAAGUGGGGGUCAGAUCAUGGGCCUGGGGACACUUGGAGGAACGGGGAAAGUGGAUUCAGGGCAGUUGGGUCCUCUGAAACAGAGUCAGCCUGCUCAGAGGGAAAGUUCUCUGACGUUGGAUGCUGAGGCAGGAGGUUGAAAUGGGGUAACCCAUGGGGUUUGGGGUUCCUGCUUUAAGGGCAAAGUGGGAUCUGAGAUGGGGACACCACACAGGGUCAGAAGAUGGGGGUCCCGCUAUCACAAGUCCCUCCUGGGUGCGGCAGGAGGGGAUUCUGGUGCAGGGCAGGGAGGGAGAUUAGGAGGCUCUCUCAAUUGCCUUAAUGGGCUCUAAGAGGCGGGAUCCUAUUACAGCUCGGGGUGCCCCGGGGUGCCUUGCUGGGAAGACAAGCUAAUCUGCCAUGCAAAUUAAAUCCUGCCUCAAGACGCAAGGCCUGCUUAAUGUGAUCCAUUACACAGUUUACUUGUUUAUAUCUAAUAUUGGAACAGGCAGCCCGGGCGGGCGGCAGCGGCAGGCGGAGCGGCCCAAAAGCAGGAGAG